rnacentral:rRNA from 1 species
UACGUAGGGUGCGAGCGUUAAUCGGAAUUACUGGGCGUAAAGUGUGCGCAGGCGGUUCGUUAAGACAGAUGUGAAAUCCCCGGGCUUAACCUGGGGACUGCAUUUGUGACUGGCGAGCUAGAGUAUGGCAGAGGGGGGUAGAAUUCCACGUGUAGCAGUGAAAAUGCGAUGAGAGAUGGUGGAGGAAUACCGAUGGCGAAGGCAGCCCCCCUGGGCUAACAC